AUAGGAGGCAUUACUUUCAGAGCAAGCUAUGUAUCUAUUCCUCCGGCAUGCAGCUGAGGAAGGAAUGGACCAGGGAUAGGUGGCACAUAAGGACUGCUCUGUUCUGUUGUAGCUGCACCCUAGGUGAAAUGAACAAAAUGAGCACAUUGCCUUCGGUAAGCAAUUAAACAGAUGCUGAACUUUUCAGUCGCAGAGAAACAUGCUCUGCCGUGCAACAAGGGACCUUGCAAGAAAAAUGAGAUCAUACACUCGACACUCAGAGGUAUGACAGAAGGGACAGAACUGCACACCACUGUUUCCCUAAGGAAUCAAAGACACUGUAGGGAAUGCAGGGAGCACGAACCAAGUGUGGCAUUCUGGAACUAGGGAUCGCUAUGGCCUGAAUGGGAUGGCAGUAAAUAACGCCGGCAGGACUUGUUUCUGCUCCCACAACUCACAGUGAAGGAUAAAUUAGAGAUGAUGCACAGCAAGUUCUGGUAUCCCUUUGUCAAACACCAUCUGAGUUGGAGCUGCAAUGUGCUGUUGACAGGGUGUCUUCUGUGCGGUUCCUGUUUGCAUGUAUGCCAUACUCACAUGUUAGAAUGUCCCUUUGUACACAGGAAAAGAUACUGUAAGAGGCACUGCAACUUUACUAAUUUAUUUGCAGAAACCAUUGAAGAUUACAUCUACUGUGAUCAAAUCCCCUUAAGUAAAAUAUAAACCGCUACUUCUCUGAAUGUAAAGCCUAGAUCAAUAAUGGACAUGAAAUCAUCAAGUUUAAUCUCAAACAGAGUGAACCCAAGUAAUCACUCUUCUUGAUAUAAAACUAAUUCUGUUUGACAAUAAAAUACUACUAGUCCGUGCUAUAAACCAA